GGGAGAUUUUCCGGUGCCGAACAUGGAAAAACAGAGGAGUCGAGCAGUAUUAGAAACCAACGGAUGCCACCACAAAAACCUCGAUCUUUCAAAGCAGCAAACUGGUAUCAAAGCUAGUUCAGUUUCUACAAUCAACCUGUUCAGAUAUGACAACAACAAGGUUUGAUAUUGGUAAGUUCGAUGGCAUCACAAAUUUCAAUCUGUGGAAAGUUCAGAUGACGGCAAUUUUGAGUCAGAGCGAUUUUGAGAAGGUCCUUACAGAGAAGAAGCUUGUAGACAUGGAUAAAUCAGAAUGCGAUAGGUUAGGUAAAAAGACUUUAUUCUUAAUUCAAUUAUGUCUAACAAAUAAUGUGUUGCAGGAGGUUUUGGUGGAGAAAAUGACAUUUACCUUAUGGAAAAGGUUAGAAACCUUCUACGUGACAAAGUCUCUGGCUAAUCGAUUGGUGUUGAAGCAAUGUUUAUAAACAUUCCACAUGGAUGAAAAUGAAAACCUUAGAGGUCACAUCAGUCAAUUUAUUACUCUUUUGAAUGAUUUAAAAAAUGUUGAGGUUCAUAUUGAUAAUGAAGAUCAGGUUAUGCUAUUAUUGUACUAUUUACCCCAUUUAUACAAGUCUUUCAGGGAGACCCUAAUUUAUGGCAGAAAUAAUCUCUCAUUCGAAGAUGUGAAGGGUAAUCUGUUGAGCAAAGAAAAAUUCGAAAAUGAGUUUGAUUCAUAUAGCAAGUUAGAUAGACAAGCCUCGAUUUUGGUAGCACCAAGAAAGCGAGACAAGAGAUGUUGUUAUUGCAAGAAGUUAGGUCACGUCAAGGCGUAUUGUUACUAAUAAGCUAUAAAAAGAGCAUUUGGGAGCAAAAGGAGCAAAAAACGAGCCAAAAUCGAACAAAUAGAGCUAUUUUCAGGAUCCACACGGCCUGAACAUUUCCACACGGGCUGGACACACACCCGUGUGAGCCACACAGGCUGGCCACAGGCCCAUUUGCCAACCCAUGUUGAUUUCGCACCCUACUUUCCAAAUACGCAGAGAAACCCAAUUUUUAGGCUUUCUGAGCAUUCCAAAGUCUAUAAAUACCAAUUAGAAGAAGACAUAAAGGGGAAAUUAGAGUAGAUUGAAGAAAACACUCAAGGAACACCAUCGGAAGCAACUCGGAAAAGAAUCUCUAUCAAGAUUGAAGAUUUCCCUUUAAUUUUUUUUGAAGUUUUAUUGAGUUUCUUUAUGUCUUGUGGUUAUUCUAACUUUAAGAUGUUUCUAUUCAGGAUUAUGAACUAAAUUCCCUAAAUACCUAGAAAGGAUGAAA